rnacentral:lncRNA from 1 species
CCUGAAACAGAUUGGACUCCCCUCAGACUCAGAACCUCAGAAAGCUCUUCACAGGGACGAGAACAGAGUCCACACUCCGGUGCCUGCAGGGUGUUUGCCGUGCCCACUCAACAUGGACUGGCCAGCACCUGCCUUCCCACCAGUUGCCCUAAAUGGCACACUUCCUUCACUUCUGAGAAUUUUCACCUAUUUUACUAUAUGGCCGCAAUAUGGAAAGGAUCUACUCUUCUAAGAUACACAGAACUGGUCGAACCCUGACACCAGCAUAAAUGUGUCUGUGUGGAACCAUCACAUUUAUCUGAAGGUUGGUGAAACAGUUAUUUCGGGAGGACCUACUGAGAUCUGCUCACUGGAAUAUAUUCAUAGGCGUCUACAGAGACAUGCAGUUUGUGAGCACUCCUCAUCGGGACCCCACGCGUCAGAGCUUGCCUUGUCUGGGUCCCUCUGAUUUCGAAUGCAACAGAACACACACCCUGAAACCUGGUCCGAGCAAACAACAAGCCGACCAGAAACCUGUGUUUGGUGAGUUGCAUUGUUUUUGUACUUGUCCCCUCCCUGCUCCUUCAGCAUUUAGUGGAAAAAAAAAAAAAAAUUUUUUUUUUUUUUUUUUUUUUUUUUUUUUGAGAUGGAGUCUCGCUGUGUCGCCAGGCUGGAGUGCAGUGGCGCCAUCUCAGCUCACCGCAACCUCCGCCUCCCGGGUUCAAGCGAUUUUCCUGCCUCAACUCCCAAGUAGCUGGGACUACUGCCACCACGCCCAGCUAAUUUUUGUACUUUUAGUAGAGACAGGGUUUCACCAUGUUGGCCAAGAUGGUCUUGAUCUCUUGACCACGUGAUCCUCCUGCCUCGGCCUCCCAAAGUGCUGGGAUUAUAGGCGUGGCACCUGGCCAGUGAAAAAUUUUAAAAGCUGCAGUGCGACUCAGAAGUGAGAAGAAGAAACAG